GNGCAGACCGCGUGCAAAGCAGCGUGGUGGAAUCUGUGACGCCACAACCGUNGGGCGCAACGUAGCAUNCANCUAACCGGGGCGCACGAGGCAACGUCCCUUAACCGGGGAAAGUGGCCUAUGCCCAAGCUAAGUGGGGGAAACUCCAUAUCGCUACCUAGAAUUGGGGGACCGGCAAAAACGGCCCCUUGGCAUUGGAAAAGCCCGAAAAUCGGACCCCGGGGCCGCUUGGANGGUGGAACACCGGAAAAGAGGCCGUUCUUUUCCCUGGGGGGAAUUGCCGGUUAAGAGGAGGAAACAUUCCAUAG
rnacentral:rRNA from 1 species